CCGACUCGUGAGUUAGACCCCUUGCCUAUAAUGUGAACCAGGUACAGGGCGGGAAGGAGUUUUUGCUUGUAGGUCGGCCAAAUUUGAACGGAUUUCGACUACUUUUGCUUUAUUAGAUAGGUAUUGACCGUACCAAUCAGGGAAAAAAAAGGUUAUGAAAUUCGGUUUACCGGAGCGUGAGCUAG